UAGUCAUAUGCUUGUCUCAAAGAUUAAGCCAUGCAAGUCUAAGUAUAAGCAUUUAUACUGUGAAACUGCGGAAAGCUCAUUAUAUCAGUUAUAGUUUAUUUGAUGGUACACCCACUACAUGGAUAACCGUAGUAAUUCUAGAGCUAAUACAUGCCCAGGUGCGGCGACUUUUUGGAGCCGUGGACUUAUUAGAUCAAGAGCUAACCCUGCUUGCAGGACUGAGCUGAAUCAUAGUAAUUUUGCUAAUCGCAGAGGUCUUGUACCGGCGAUGGGUCAUUCAAAUUUCUGCCCUAUCAGCUGUGAUGUUAGUGUAGUGGACUAACAUGGCAUAAACGGGUGACGGAGGAUUAGGGUCUGAUUCCGGAGAGGGAGCCUGAGAAAUGGCUACCACUUCCAAGGAAGGCAGCAGGCGCGUAAAUUACCCAAUCCCGACACGGGGAGGUAGUGACAAGAAAUAACAAUACCGGAUCUUUCUAAACUCCUUAACAAGGACCAAUU
rnacentral:rRNA from 1 species